rnacentral:rRNA from 1 species
UACGUAGGGGGCAAGCGUUGUCCGGAAUCAUUGGGCGUAAAGAGCGUGUAGGCGGCCCGGUAAGUCCGCUGUGAAAGUCCAGGGCUCAACCCUGGGAUGCCGGUGGAUACUGUCGGGCUCGAGUCCGGAAGAGGAGUGUGGAAUUCCUGGUGUAGCGGUGAAAUGCGCAGAUAUCAGGAGGAACACCCGUGGCGAAAGCGGCUCUCUGGGGACGGUACUGACGCUGAGACGCGAAAGCGUGGGGAGCAAACAGG